AUUUGCAUCUCUACUGGACAAGGUUUACAAGUUAACAGUAACCACACAGAGAUGGACCUCUUAUCUAAUAGUUGGUAAUAUGGCUCAUCUGGUUAGAGGACAUUCGGUAACAUUUUGCCUGAUUUUCUUCUUGAUGCAAGCUACCCCCAAAAGAAUCUCUGGGUCAAUGGGAUUUCAGAGGAAACGUUCCAGAGGAGAAAGUUCCUGUCUGAACUGAGCAUUGAAGGGUGAAUUGGAGCCAUUUAGAUGAAGACUUUGGGAAGGAGUGGGAAGAAGAAACUGCAGUCAGAGGAAACAGCAUGAACAAUAUAGCAUAGCAUGAAAAACAUGCUGUAUUUGGAGGAAUACAAGUGGGUCAUUAUUCCUGUAAAGGAAGAUAGUAGACCCUGAUGUUCCAUGUUCAGAGAAGGCUUGGGGCUGACUGAUUUGUUUCCAAACCCAAGCCAUUGAAGAGA